GGGAGGAAAGGGAAACUUUCAAUAUCAAGACUCUUCUUUAACAUUCAAGGGGGAAAUGGAAACAGCCAACAUGAAAGCCAGAUUUCCCAGGAAGAAGUCAGACUGAAGUCAUGGUGUGCCCUUAACUACAGUGGAAGACUCUGAAGGAUUCCACAAAGCCUGUUGAAGCACUUACCUCUUGACUUGAGGAGAAGGUGGAAGUACCCUUCUUGCCUAACUCAGUCAUGUGGGUACACCUAUGCAUGGGAGGCUGGGAAAUGAAGUUUAGCUACGUGCCUGUGAGGAAGAGAAAAUAGGCUUGAAUCGAUGCUCUUUGAGUUGACAUCCAAGGACCUUAAUGGAAUAGCAGUUCUCAACCAUGGUGCCUCCAAACCACAAAUCUAGGCAGAUGAAGCUGGUGCCUGAGUUCGAGUGUCACGUGGAGAGCUGCUUGGCCUCCCCACAGAGGGACCUGUCCUCAACGUCUCUGCCUGAAGUCAGCCUUCCGGGAAGGAACAUGGACCAUUCUUACAAGACAGACUUCUCCAGUUUUGAACCAGA